UGAAACAAAGAAAGAUGGACCCAAAUGGGUCGAUCAGAUUUGCUUGACUCAACAUGAUAGCAACACCAGAUGAGGUGUAUUAGCAGUAAGUAUGAAUGCCCAAGAUUCCUUGGCACUCUCUACUACAUUUGUAUUGAAAGGCAGUGGAAAACAAAUGAAAGAAGCAUGUUAAUACUGUAUCAAACAGAGGUGGAAUCGAUCAAUCAAUCAGACUUGCGGCUUCAACAAAAAAUCACGGCGAUGAAAUGAAUGGAUGCAUCUUGUACCUAGAGCUUGCACCAGAUGGAGGGGUCGCCGGCUCACGAUGCCGUUUAUUCACUCAGAGCAGAAGCGGGAGUACCUGCCACCGCAGCUCGAUGUCCUCUAUAGCCGUCGGCUCCCCUCAGCGACCGCGCUUAGCUGUCGCCCCAACCAUUCGCAGCUGGCGCUCCUGUUCGCACGACCAGUCCACGCGCGACGCGACGGGGCAGCCAGCACGGCGAGCUGCCCAUCCAUUCACGGCUGGGGCGACCCCUGGUGCUCCUGAUUGCGCGACUGAUGCGGGCCGACGGGUGACCUCCACGCACGGCGCGACGAGGACAGCCGCGACGGCGAGGUGCCCGUCGAUGUGUGCGGCUGGGGCGGCGCCUGGUGCUCCUUCUCGUGUGACGACACGGAUCGCCGUCCACGCACGACGCGACGGGGCAGCCACGACGACGAGCUGCCCAUCGAUGCACGGCCCGGGCGGCCCCUGGCAAGGUGCUCCUGCUUGCGCGGCCUAUGCGGGCCGACGGAGCACCUCCACGCGCGGCGCGACGGAGACAACCGCGACGGAGAGGUGCCCGUCGAAGUGCGUCCGGGGCGGCUCCUGGUGCUCCUGCUCGCGCGUACGACGCGGGCGAAGCAACUCCACGUGCGGCGCGACGAGGGGCAGCUGCUGCAGGGUGCGCCGCCCUUGUUCCCGGAUCAACGGUCGUCUGGCCUCGUCGCCGGCAACGACGUCGUGAGUGGUGGGGGACGAAGAAGGAGAGGGCGAGAGAGUGGCGGGGGUCUGCAGAGUGACGAUGCGGUGGAUGGAUAAGAGACGUGCGGCCGGAGGCGUUCGCGACGACACCCAGUUUCCCCCGAACGAAAACGCUGACCUGGAUAAUCUUCUCUCUCUAAGAUUCGUGUAAAGGAUCUAAUGAUAGAAAAC
rnacentral:lncRNA from 1 species